AUUCUGAAGUAUUUACCACUUCGAAAUUCGACCCUGGAUAAAUCUGCCCCUCAAUGUAGCUCCAUUUAACCUUUUGGUUCAGCACUCUUCCCCUUUUCUUCCUCAGAUUACAUUAUGUGUUAUUACUACCCCCCCCAUUGUCACCUGUGGCUUUGAAUCAAGACCUACUCUGCUCAGGUGCAACCUGGGCCUUUACACGUUGAAUUGGGCGCACAGCAUUCUGAUUAAAACGUUACAAUCCAACAAAAAGGAAUGCUGUUCUUUUGGUAUCAGCACUAGAAUCCAUGACAGUUACUCAAUCUUAAAGGAACUUAAUCUCAACAUUGAUUCAGAUGUCAUCGAAAGUCUUCAGGAAUUUUCCUGUAUGAGCAACAGCAAGCAGGACCAUCCUUCGUCAUCAUGACCUGGAGCAGUGUGUCGCUGGCCCUAUCAUUGGGUAGUGAGAAAAACUGAACCACCGAAAAACAAGUCCCCAAUUGCCGAAGUCACAAAAAGAGCUGAACUACAGAAGCCGUGAAGAGACUCGAAGUCACGAAAGAGCUGAACUUGAAGUCCUGAAGCAGCGGAAAGUCCCAAAGUCACUAAAGAGCCAAACUUGGAGGUCCCGAAGCCAUGAGUUCAGUUCUAUUGGACACCAAUCUUUUUGAUGCGUGGAUGUACAAGCAGGUGCACUGAGCAUUCAGCCUUCAUACCAUGAUGAUGAAUGGUGGGAGAAUGCAAAGAAUACAUAUUAUAAACAAACUCUCCGGCCCAGUGUGAUAAUGCUUGGUGGAGCAGCCGUACCUGCAGUAGGACUGGUGUCACUCACAGGUUGAUCCUGGAGCUCUAAAUUGCGGUAUAAUCGAAGUCCCUAAAGGCUUCCGCAAUCUCCUUUUCCAUGGCCAAGGAACCCUCGGAGGGAGGAGUUAGAACUAGAUGUUGAUCUUUAUCCUCGGAAAGUCUAACAUCCUCAGCAUUUCGUAUAUUACAAUGCCCAGAGACCACCAGUCGACAGAUCUUGAGUAUGGCUCCCUGGCGAGGACUUCUGGUGCCAUGUAGCCAAAAGAUCCUUUCAGGCUACUUGUUCGCCCUUCAUAGCCAAUUCCUGAAAAAAAAACAGUUAUUGUAAGUAAACGGAUGAUCAUUUGGGGCUUAUUUAUCUGUAUCGACUCAGUUUAAUAAUGUUUAGUUUGAUAAUGAAACUGGGUAAAAUAUUGUCUGUGAAAAAAAAGUUUUCAAUAUAGUCAGCCAAAAAAAUGUAAUCCAUAAUAGCUGGAGUAAACCGAUGUCUAAGGUAACAGCCAGAACACAAAUCACUAUG